UACAGAGGUCCCAAGCGUUACUGAGAAUCACUGGGUUUAAAGGGGGCGUAGGUGGUCCGUUAAGUCAGUUGUGAAAUCCCCGGGCUCAACCCGGGAAAUGCUUCUGAUACUGGCGGACUUGAGGCCAGUAGGGGUCACUAGAACUGACGGUGGAGCGGUGAAAUGCGUAGAUAUCGUCAGGAAUGCCGGUGGUGAAGACGGGUGACUGGGCUGGUUCUGACACUGAGGCACGAAAGCGUGGGGAGCGAACGGG
rnacentral:rRNA from 1 species